rnacentral:rRNA from 1 species
CCUACGGGUGGCAGCAGUGGGGAAUAUUGGGCAAUGGGCGCAAGCCUGACCCAGCAACGCCGCGUGAAGGAAGAAGGCUUUCGGGUUGUAAACUUCUUUUCUCAGGGACGAAGCAAGUGACGGUACCUGAGGACUAAGCCACGGCUAACUACGUGCCAGCAGCCGCGGUAAUCCGUAGGUGGCAAGCGUUAUCCGGAUUUAUUGGGUGUAAAGGGCGUGUAGGCGGGAGCGCAAGUCAGAUGUGAAAACUCAGGGCUCAACCCUGAGCCUGCAUUUGAAACUGUGUUUCUUGAGUGCUGGAGAGGCAAGCGGAAUUCCGGGUGUAGCGGUGAAAUGCGUAGAUAUACGGAGGAACACCAGUGGCGAAGGCGGAUUGCUGGACAGUAACUGACGCUGAGGCGCGAAAGCGUGGGGAGCAAACAGGAUUAGAUACCCCUGUAGUC